rnacentral:lncRNA from 1 species
CUUGCUAAAUAUUUCAUCAGUAUGCAUAAUAACAUGAAAUUUUAAAGUACAUGAUAAUAUUUAUUCACUUGUGAGAUGUUGAACGAAAACAAUGAUAAAUUACAUAAAAAGGAAUAAAUGAUAAAUGUUUCAUCGAAAAAAAAUCACAAUUGAUUACUUCAUAUAGUCAUAAUCAUAUUGUCUUUACUUAAUAAUGAUUUUAGAGAAUCAUAUUUGUUUAUUCAUUACAACUCAUUUACAACCAUGUAGUGACCGUUUUAUUUUCCAUACAUAUCUUUUAAAGCAGCCUUUGCCCUACAUAUGCUUAUGUGCAUUUCAAUGAAAUUAAAGGUUAGAGAUAGAAAUUUGAAUAAAUUUGAAUUGUGCAAGAAAGCAUGAAAGUGUCAUCACAUUAAAAUAAAAUUAUAAGUUUAUAAGUAACAAAAUUAUUUGUCAACUUACAUGUUAAACUAUUCAACGCAGUAGCAAGCAUACAAAAUACACUUCGCUUGUUCAUGUGGACCACAAUCAUUUGGACAUUCAGUGUCAUUUUUGCAGUUAUUAUAAAUUAAGAAUCUAUGGCCAAAACUUUCUAUUACAAAAAGUGAAUAAAUAAAUAGCAUGAUAACAUACACAAACUUGAGAAUUGUA